GUGCCAGCAGCCGCGGUAAUACGGAAGGUCCAGGCGUUAUCCGGAUUUAUUGGGUUUAAAGGGAGUGUAGGCGGUUUGUUAAGCGUGUUGUGAAAUUUAGGUGCUCAACAUUUAACUUGCAGCGCGAACUGGCGAACUUGAGUGCACACAACGUAUGCGGAAUUCAUGGUGUAGCGGUGAAAUGCUUAGAUAUCAUGAAGAACUCCGAUUGCGAAGGCAGCAUACGGGAGUGUAACUGACGCUUAAGCUCGAAGGUGCGGGUAUCGAACAGGAUUAGAUACCCUGGUAGUCCGCACAGUAAACGAUGGAUGCCCGCUGUUAGCGCCUGGCGUUAGCGGCUAAGCGAAAGCAUUAAGCAUCCCACCUGGGGAGUACGCCGGCAACGGUGAAACUCAAAGGAAUUGACGGGGGCCCGCACAAGCGGAGGAACAUGUGGUUUAAUUCGAUGAUACGCGAGGAACCUUACCCGGGCUUGAAUUGCAGAGGAAUUAUUUAGAGAUA
rnacentral:rRNA from 1 species